UACGUAGGGUGCAAGCGUUGUCCGGAAUUAUUGGGCGUAAAGAGCUCGUAGGCGGUCUGUUGCGUCGGCUGUGAAAACCCGGGGCUCAACUCCGGGCCUGCAGCCGAUACGGGCAGACUAGAGUUCGGCAGGGGAGACUGGAGUUCCUGGUGUAGCGGUGAAAUGCGCAGAUAUCAGGAGGAACACCGGUGGCGAAGGCGGGUCUCUGGGCCGUAACUGACGCUGAGGAGCGAAAGCAUGGGGAGCAAACGGG
rnacentral:rRNA from 1 species